rnacentral:lncRNA from 1 species
GAAAGGAGUGGGCGGUUGAAGAUGUGAUCCUAGAGAUUAAAGCUAGAACUUGGUGUUGGUAUAAAACCUUUGGUAUUUUUGAUAAGGAGUUGAACUUUUCUGUUUGGAGCUCCGAGGACUUAAUCUCCCGAGUGAUGUAAUUUCUGGUACUGCUGGUACAAUGGUUUGAUUAAUGAAAUUGCUUGAACACAAAAAAAAAUUAAUUUUUUCUUAAACAAAUUGGUUAUUUAGGAUUAUUAACACUUUUGUUAUUGUUGUUAGUGUUUAUUAUUAUUAUUAGGGCAAAGGUGCACAUUAGCCCCUAAACAUGGCACCCCUAUAGCUUUUACCCCCCGAGAAUCGGUCAAGGCCCGUCGACCUCCCCGAACUCUCGAAAGAAGGGUG